UUUUGAAAAUCUCUAAUUCAUUGUAUAUAUAGUUUCAGUUAAUUUAUAUAGAAUAAACUAAUUUUGACUUUAAAAUAAGUGGGUGAUAAAUAUUAUAUAACUGGAUGGGUUGAGUAUUAUUACUCAAAAAUUAGUUAUUUGUUGGCGUAAAUCAUGCUAGGUAUAUAUAUAGUGUAUUCAUAGUUUCAUUCAGGAUUGUGAAGCUUCUAAAAGUAGGUAUCGUUCACCCACACUUGAUUAACUUAAUUAAUAAAAUUUAUUAAUAUUAUUACUUUGGCCAAUAAUGAAAAAACCGUGACACUUCUCCCACACAUAAAAAAAUAUUCCUAACCAUCAACAUACACACUCUAAUCAUUAAUUAAUUCUAAACAAAUAUUUAAUUUCUACCAAAGUUUAGCCACAUCUAUUUUAUUUAAAAAAUAUAUCGAGAGUAUAUGAGGCGAUCGGUUGUGACAUGAGUAUCAUUGUAAUUAAUUAAGUUUACAAUUAAUUGGUAAUUCUCACUAAAAUACUUAAUUAAAUAAUAAAUUUAGAUGUUUUGGUGUAAGUAAGCGAUUGUAACAUAAGUUGUGUGCAUUAAGUAUAAUUAAAAUAUUAGUUACGAAUUAAAUUAGAGGUUUUUAAUUAUGCGAGACAUAAGUUGUGAACUAACUUUAGGUAGCAGCAUUUUAAAUUAUUUUUUAAAAAAGAAAAUUAAAGAUGUGGAUCGUUCGACGCCUAUAUUUCAAAAUGGUGUUGCAAAUAUUCAACUCUUUUUCUCCUAUAUUUUGAGAAAUGGGUUGACCAUAUGCAUGAUUAAUUAACUACUAGGUAUUAAUUAAGUCAUAGUGUUGAGCUUUAAUUAGUUCAUUAUGAUCAUUUCUUGUCCUAUAUUAAUGAGUUUAAGGUCACAUAAAUGAAUCUCAUAAUAGAUAUCUCCAAUUAUAUAUGGACGGAAAAAUCUCAAUCAAUUUAUUAAAGUUUUAGCUUUUUAUGCUUUUUUUUUUUUAACCCUUCUUUAAUUUAUUGAAAUAAAGUGUUUAUUGAAAUAUCCCUUGUGUUGCAUAAAAUGAUUAUUCCUCGGCAAAAGUAAUUCCCUACACAUGUAAACCUUAGACUAUAUAGCAUCCCACUAAUAUAUUGGAUAAAUGCUCCUCCCAAUAUCAAUUGGUGAGUGAUGUAUAUAGUAAUUCCAAUAGCAGAAGCAAUCGAGAGAGAGAAGGAUAUAUAUACUUUAAUAUUGGUGAAUCCCUAGGUUAUUAUUAUAUAAAUAUAAGUAGAUUAGUUGAGAUAAAGAAGCAACUCCAUAGAGCAUAAUUAAACACAUCAUCUUUAAAUGACUACAACAGCAAUAGUUUAAUAUUCCAGCUGAUGUAACAUGCUUAGAAUACUUAAAUCUACCUCACUCAAUAUGCAUGAAUAUUAAUUUGGAUAUUCCUUUUGAUUUAUUAAAUUAUUUUGUAGUCCUUUCCUUGUUUUUCUUUUCUUUUUCUAAUGCAGCAUCUAAUGAUUCCCUCAUCUGGUGCUGCAACUCGGCUGAGAAUUGGCAUUUUAUUGACAUAAAAAUUAAGCUGAUUAAAAUUAUUUACUUUUUCUUAAAUAUUAUUUCAUGAUAUGCAAUAUUGUAAUAUAGUAUAGAAUAUAUAUAGAGUACGUCUCCUCUACUUUCGAAAGUACGGAGGUUUCCGUACUUGUAAGUUAUUUUUGAUGAAACGAUAUCCGAUUCGAUGAUCGGCUCCGUUAGAUAUAAUCUAUCCUAUUGAAACUAUCUAGAAAUCUAAUUUCAUAUUUUUUUGACAUCAUUUACCGAUCAAACGAUCUCAAAAUCGACUAUUUUAAUGGUCGAUGUGGCAUGUUUUGAAGUUCAAUUGUGUAGAACAAUCCAAAUUACAUAAAACAUGAAUAGAAAAUUUUACUUUAUAUCAAUAGUAAGAUGAAUACUUGUGAUUUGAAAUUUGAGUAUUUUAUCACUAUUUUUUAUGAAAUUUUUAUUUUUAGUCUUUCAUUUUUAGGCAACUCAUUCAUUAGACAAAUAAACUCAAAAAAUUAUAAAAUUUGGUUUCUAAAUAGUUUCAAUAACGUAGAUCAUAUUUAACGGAACCAAAUCACCGAAUCAAAUAUACCAUCAUUGAAAAUAACUUAUAAGUACGGAGGCCUCCGUACUUACAAAAAUAUAGGAGCCUCUCUCUCUCUCUCUCUCUCUCUCUCUCUCUCUCUCUAUAUAUAUAUAUAUAUAUAUUAUGACCUAAUGUGUUUAUUAAGAGAUUACCUCAUACAUGAUUGGAUAACAAAAUAAUGAUCUUUCAUUUUUUUUGGGAAUUUUACUUCACACUUAAAAUGUGAGAAAUGCUUUUUUUUUUUUUUAAGAGAGAAAGAUAGGCUUGCUAUCUGUUUCGUUCAUAGCGAAUAUGAACUGAGUUAUAGAGACAGGAUAACUGGUCUCGAGAAUUAGAAAUGUCCUAAAAAUAUGAAAAAUGUUGAAGUUCCACAUGUUAUCAAAAUAGAAUAUUGUAUGUUCAAAUCACAUGUACAAAACCACAUUUUGAGGUUAAAUGUGAGGAGUGUUGAGAUCUAAGUUUUAGUUCCUUGAGGUUUAGCCCAUGCUUAGGUUAUUAAACAAAAAGAAAAGGGAGAGAAUCUUGGAAAAAAAUACCUAAAUGGAGCUAUCCUUUACCUUGAAUAAGAUCGGCCGAGAUCUUAGUAGGUCCUAGUAUCACUUAAUUAAACAGUAGAGGAACUUGAUGUUAUUAACAACUCAACAUAUUACCAAGAGAAUAAUCCAAAUCCAAAAGUUGUUACCUAGUUUUCUAGUUCUAUAUAUGUAUAUUCAACAAUUUUCACAUGCACAUGCAUGCUUAUCUAUAUAAGAGAAAUCGAAAGAACAAAAGAUCGAUAACUUAUUUUCAUGGCAUUAAUAUUUUGAAUUAACACUAGAUAGCUUUUAUUCCGACGCAAAUGUAAUACAACAAAUUAGAGCACCAUGAACUUAGGUCAACAUCAAUAUUAAUAAUUUUAAAGCCAAAGUGCUUUUGAAAAUACUGCUAAACAGAAUAAUCAAGCAACUCAUAGAAGGAGUUGAAAUAUAUAUAGAUUCGACUGAAAUAGAAAUUAAACAUCGAUACAUCCGUCGCAUACUGUUGAAAUUUAAUAAUUUAAACCAAAGUUUGCAACAAGACCAAAGUAACUAAUAAUGCAAAUUAAUUAAAUAACCCACCCUUGAUGUUAAUUUCUUGUGUGAUGGAGGAUCCCAGCAGGAUCACAAAGGGGGCCACAUCACAUGUAAGGAAUUAAGCUUAUUAUUAUAGUGGAUUGAUGUGGUGGUGGUGUCUUGCUUAGAUGCAAAUGAGAUUAGAUUAUUAUAAUAUUUAAGUACAUAUAUAUAGAUAUAUUUACAUAUAUAAUAAAUAUAUAAGGGGUCUUUUCAAUUGAAAGGUCUUCCUCAACGCAUUGUGGGAUAGUUUAGACAAGCGCAGAUGUGCUCUCCUUUUCAUCUAAAUUAUCUUAUUUAAAGAGGGAGAGCCACCAACAAAUUCAUACAUUUUAAUUAACCUCCUUUAAAUUAAAUUCAUUACCAACCUAGGAGGUUUAAUUUCCAUGUAAUUAUGAUGGGGUGCUUUGGCAAUAAAUUGCCCUAUUUGUCACUAAAAUAUGCCUUAUAUUUCAUUUUAAUUUUUAAAUUACUCACAAAAUCUGUUAGUUACGUGCCAGCGAAAUAUUGUUUACAUGAAAAUGCUAAAAUAGUCAUUGACUGAGAAUGUAUAAAAAUGCAAUUGACCUAAUAUAUUACGAUUUUUGUCAUGGUCAGAUCUUUCUUCACUCAUAAUUAAUAAGUAUAGAAAAUAAUUACGUGGCAUGUCAUAUUUCAUUUUAUUGUCAUGGGAGACAUGAUAGGGCUAAGGUUAAAAUAAUAUUGAUUGUUUAAUCUCUCGAAUGCAUGUAUGUUGAACUUUUGGGGAUCAAAAUGAAGUGUGAGCUAGUAAUAGUUUUUCAUUUUUAGAGAAAAUUAGCUAGUAAUACUUAGAGACAUUGAGGUAAUCGACUCAUAAUAUAAUUAAUAUUACAUAAUAGAUAAUCAAAUAAUUAUAUUCAGAUAUGAAUUGAAUUUAAAUAUACUGAUCACUCAGUUGAUCGGCUUGUUUCGACCUGCUUCUAUAAUAAUAUUUUUAUUUUCAAAAAAAUUGAAGAUCUAGAAUUUUUGACGUGAGAGAAAACAAAGUAAGUUUUUUAGAAUUUAGAAGUACUAGAAACCUAAACUUAUUUUUAUUUUUUUGUUUCGUGUAAAGCAGGAGAUUAUUUGAAAAAAAAAAACCCCUCUUGUUUCUAUUUCAAACAAAUUACUUCAAAUAAUCUCACGCAAAUUCUCUAGUGGAUCGAGGUCGAAACCAUAUAUGUUGAGUCCGAAGAUGGCCAUGGACACCCUGAAGGCUUUGAAAAUUAUAUUUUAGUCCCUAAUGUUGUUUUAAAGUCUUGUGGGGCAAAUAGAUUUUUUAAAUAAAGAUAAUGAGGUUGCUUAAUAAAGUUUUGGUGUUGGCCCAAUAUUUGGGAACCAUGUACUCUUUAAACUUAUCUUUGUCUAGGGAAAUAUAUUUGAUAGCUUAGCAAGUUAUUUAAUAAUUAAUUUGUCCAACCUUUCUUGCAAUAAAAUACUCAGCACUUACAGAAUAGAUUUAUAAUUUUUUCUUUUUCAAAUAUAUAUAUAUAUAUAUAUAUAUAUAUAAUAACUAACAAAUAUAAUUAAGAGAUUUUUGUUAGAUUGUUGGCGCUAACUAUUAAUCCCAAUGGCUGGAGCUGUUAGAAAUAUGCAAGUAAUUCACUAAAAAUGUACAGAUACAGUGCUCACGGGUCUCGAUUGUGAUUCGGUCCACCCAACCUUUCGUCAUUUCGAAUAUGACUAGGCUCAACAUGGCACACAACCAAUUCACUUAAAGCGUACAGAUAUAGUGCCCACGGGUCUCGAUUGUGACUCGGCCCACCUAGCCUUAAGCCACUUCGAACAUGAUUCGACUCAACAUGGCAUUCCACCAUAGAGCAGGAUGCUGGCUUAUUUAAGCCAACAAUCUCCCUUCCAGUACUUGCACACAUUUGCUAUUUGCAACAUGCGGGAAUCGAAAACAGUAAUUUUUGGCUCUGAUACCACUUUUGAGAUCGUUGGCGCUAACCAUUAAUCCCAAAAGCUCGAACUGUAAAAAUAAGCAACCAAUUCACUUAAAAUAUACAUAUACAACGUCAAUGGAUCUCGAUUGUGACUCGGUCCAUCCAGCCUAAAGACGCUUCAAACAUGAUUCGAUCCACCUAACCUCACGGUAUUUUGAACAUGACUCGGCCCAAUGUAAUCUCCUGCCACGGGGCGAAAAUUUUUCAACUAAAAUUAUAAUUUUCUAUUAACUAAAAAUUAUACUUCUGGCCUUUUCUUUGGUAAAAUUCUGGCUUGGAUCCUCUAAACAAGCAUCAACAUCCACAGGCAACUUCAUUCAUAUCUUAUUGGAUAUCGUAUCUCUAAGGCAAUAAAUUUUCUUUAACCACGGGCGAAAGGUAAUAAUCUUUUCCCCGUGAAAGGUAAUAAAGUUUAAAGAAAAAUAUCUUCGCCUUGAAUAAAAAAUAAUGAUAGGUAGAUGUUCAAGAAGGAAAUGAGUAGAAAGAGAUGUAUGCUAUUGAGAUGUCCUCUUUUACAAAUUUUCAAAUAGAAUAAUUAACCCAUGUUUUAGAUAGAAUUAAACCAAGUGCUAAUUUUGAUUAAUCAAGGGCUAAGCAAAGCCAUUGCAUGGGUCAUUCUCAAUUGGAUUAUCGUACUAAUUAGGCGAAAAGAAAUACACCGAGACCCACUCCACUAUAGGACGUUUUGAAAUUGGCCCCCAACUUUACCUUUUAAUGAUUGAAACCCCUUUUGAUUUAAAAAAUUCUAUUAAUUUUAGCCUUUAACUAUUUGUUAUUUUAUUUAAUUAUUAAGAAUAAUUAAAAGUUAUUAAAUUUAAUAAAAUCAUUAAUAAAUUUGCUAAAAUUUCAAAUAUAGUUAGAUUUCAAAAACUUGAUGGAAAAAAUAAAAAGUUAGUAAGGUACUUCCCAUACAUUUUUUACUUAGGUUAGUUGCAUACAACUUUCUAUAAAUAUAUCGAAUAGUAGAUAUAUUCUUACAAAGUUUAGUUUUUUAUUUUUAUCCUUAUAAAAGUCUUCCAGUUUUCAAAUAUAUCCUUACUGUUAAGAUUCGUUUGAAAAAUAUAAUUAACCAUGAAUAAAAUAUUUAACUUUGGUUAGUGGCUGAAUUAAAUUGACCUGUUUACCCCUCUUAUAUUAUUAGGUAAAAUAUUUUCUGGAAGAACAUUUUUGCAUAAUGGGCUUUCGAAUGAAUAUAUUUAUAAGGAUAAAAAUAUUAUUUUACUUAUCUUUUGUAAAAAAUAAACAGUGCUCGAAACGUAACAAAUCAAAAGGGCAAAAAUAAAUAUCACUGAACAAUUGUGAAGAUAAAAAUAAAAUGUUAAAUUUGCUAAAAAAUAUAUUUAAUAUUAGGCAUGUUAAAAGAGAUGCAAUUAAAUUUUUUUUUUUUAUUUUACCUUCUAAGAGGAAAGCAGGGUCGCAAUGCACUUGGAAAGAGGUCACGCUCCUAUUGGGCUAAAAAAUGAAAAAGAAUGGCUUACACAGCAACGGCACCAAAUAGGAUAAUUUGAUCUCGGACUCUGAUUUAUGACUCGGGAAGCAACGCACAUCGGGUAGGUUGGGGGAGUAAACGGGGGUAGUUAUUUGGUCCCCGUAGCACGGGUACUGAUUUCUGGAAUUGCCCUAGUCAGAGGCGGCCGCACGUGCGGGAAAUCCUGUAGCAGCACUACGGGCAUUGCAGCCAUUGGGCGUCGGCGGGAAUAAAUUAUUCCGUGAACCCGGCGCACCCCUUUCUUUAUUACAAUUAGGUAAAAAACCCACCAAACUUACGUGAACUAAUUGCCUAAUUAUUUUAAAUUUUAAUUUUUACCAUCCAAUCUUCAAUUCUAUCUUAAUUUGAGUCAAUUAAUGAUACUUUAUUUUUAAAUUUUGAAAUAAUUAUUUGCCAUGAUAAAUAUAUACUUGUAAGAAUUGCAUGAAUUUUGUAGAUCUGAAUGAUAUCCGUUUUAUUUGAGUGUUUGAUUCGACGUUUGUAGUUAGUUUUUAUUCACUUGUUUAUUUAUUUAUUUCCUUUUUUUCAGAGGCCCUUGCUGCCUCACUCUAUGUGGCUAAAUUCAUUGACUAAAUAAAUAAAGCAGAUAGCGUGCUACCUUUCUCUCUCAAAAAAAAAAUGAAUUUUACUAACUACAUCUGUAAAGAUAAACUAUACAUUUAAUUUUACAGUAAAAAUACUAUUGACCGACUUAAAUCAAAUAAAUUAAAAUAUUAGAUAGCAAAAUUAAAAUUUUAAAAAGUUAAAUAGUCAACUCAAAAUAGUUUUUAAUUCAGAUAAAUUAUAUGUACAAUUUUAAAAUUUUGAUUCUAUUUCUCAACCUUCUAAUUUAUUUUUUUAAUACAAAAUUUAAAAUAAUUGCUUAUUUCAGUAAAUUUAUAGUUACAUAAAUUUUAUAAAAUAUAUAUACUAAUUAAAUAUGUAAGGAAAAAUGACGAGGCGUUGCACUGAUGACGCGGUGCACCGCGUUCAGGCAAUAAUUUCGUACCGUCUCCCUUGCGCAUCUUCUUUCUUUCUCUCUCGCGUCCGCGUAAUGGAGUAAGGACACCGCGACAUAACUAUUCGAAUUAAAUAAUUCAAAGCAGAGUUAUUAAAUUAUUCAAAGUAAAUUUUUUUUUAAAAAAGUAAUUAUUACGUUUGGUGUACGGAGAGGGGAGAGAGAGAGAGAGAGAGAGAAAGAGCGUAAUUCUUGUUGGAAGUUUCUGGGAGGGAACACUGUUUCAAAGGGAAAGAGUAUCGAUUUUCCUGUUCAAAGUUUCAAACUACAAUAAUAAACAUGUGAUCGAUCUAUCUAUCUACAUUUCUUCGAAUAUGUGCAUAGGAAAGUAAGUUGAGAUUAUAUAAAACCAAUAAAUAAAAUGGUGGAGAUUAAUUAUUGCACUCCAAUUAAUGUUAGCACAACGAAGAAAAUUAAAUUAAGCAGUGUAUAUAUAUAUAUAUAUAUAUAUUGUAACUGUAGAUUAAUUAAUUUAAUUGGUGAACAGUACUGGACAAGCCAUUAACGAAUUUAGAUUAAUAAUUACGUACUUCUUUAAAAUCAAGAAAUAGUUAAUGAGCUAUAAUUAAUUAAGAGAUGGACUGAUGAAAUUGUUGUUAUUCUCUCUCUCUCUCUCUCUCGCUCUUUCUUUUCUCUAGGAAUUAAUUUCUUUUUUUUUCCCAGUUAAUUUUCCGGUUAUAUACCUCUGGCGAGCUCCUCGAUCCACAGAUUAGAACCAAAUUGUAUAUAAUUUAAAUCAUAAUCCUCCCGAGUUUCCCUCUCUCUCUCUCUCUCUCUCUCUCUNAGAGAGGUUUGGAUGCAUAUUGAAACUCCAUAUACUGUCUUGCAGUAUAGCCCAAUCCCACUUUGGCAUCUGGUGAUUCAAACCAUCCAUUGAUUCUUAAGACACAACUACAAACUUUUCAGACCAAAAUCUUAAAAUCUGAAGUUGCUACAGUCUAGAGCAACUCCUCAAUCCCCAUUCCUCCACAAUGAAACUGUGACUAACUCCGACAAAAUAAAGAUCACUUUAUCGAGAUCACGAUAUCUAACCUAUAAAUGAUAAAAUAUUUCUCGAAGAAAAAAAGCAUAAUUUUGCAAAUAGCAAACUCACCGUAAGUUAGAAAUAGAUACAUAUACUCGAUCUAUAGAUCAUUACUGAAUCCAAUAUCACAUCACAGAAACCCUAAAUUGCCUAAUAGCUUGAGUCGACACUCCCCAAACUCAUCAUACGAUCCCCGACUCUCCACUGAGCUAACAAAUCAAACCAAGAACCAGAAACAAUCUACAGGAGCCCCAAACCCCUGCAACAAAGAUUCACCCCCGAGAAGACACAAAGCUCUGAUCAAGAACUCGACCGAUCGCAACAACUCAACUCGUUGACCUCACGAGACACUCCAUUUUCCGAUCCAUUGUGGCCGAAACCCUAGAAAGCAAGAAGUUCAAAACCAAAAAAAAAAAAAAAAAAAGAAAAAAGAAAAAAAUGGGAAGAGAUUGGAGUGGUGGAAAGGGGUGGGUCCCCCAAGUAGUAAUCACUAGGUGGGGCCUGUUGUGCUUGGACGUGACAUGGUUCUCUGUUUUCAGAGGAUUCCUAUUGUCGAAGCCUAAUCUCAAGCUAGAGUUCAAUCGCCCAUCCUAUUGGUGGACGCCACAUUACACUCUGCUACAAGGAGUCCUUUUGUUUGAUUGGAUGUAUUUGUAACUACUAAUACAUCCAACUACUACAGAUCGAUAUACUGCCGUUAAGAUUUGUAUUUAUAAAUUCUAUCAAUUUUUAAAUAAAAAUAUAAGAUUAUUUUUUUUGAGCAUAACGUAAUUAUAUUUUAUUUAUUAAUUAAGAUUUUUUUAUCUAUAUAUAAUUUAUGUAUUAUAAAAUUAUAUAUAAAUCUAAAAAAUUUUAAAUACAAAUAUAUUAUAGAUUUCGUCAAAAAAAAAUUAAGAUAUUAUUAAACUAGCAGACUGAAAAAAUGAAACGUAUGAAAAAAAAAUUAUUGACCCUAAUAAAUAUUAUUAAAUCCUAUCAGAUUUCAUGAAUAGAUAUUUUUGAAAAAAAAUAAAAAAAAAUGUAUGAAAAAAAAAUCACACUUUAUUUAUUUUUUUAAUGGGUGAGCCAUCUCCAAUAGCCGCAAGUUGGUACUACAGCUAAUUUGACUGUAGUACCAACUGCUGCAGUUGGGCCUUCUCGUGCAGAUACAACUGCCACAGUUGGACCUAACUAUACCAAACCAAAUAAAAAUUUAAUAAAUGCAUAUAUUUUCAACUGCAGUGUAUUUAGAAAUACAGGCAACCAAACAGUCCCUAAAAGGAAUAGAAAAUAACUUGCCUUUUCUUUUUUUUUUUCUUUUUAAAAAAAACUCUGCAGGCUAUGGGUCGGUAAAGUUCAGUUUGAAAUAAUAUUUUUGCUAAACUAAAUUUUAGAUACAAAUUAAUUUUCUUUCAUUAUUUGUUUGUAUAUUUAUGAAGCUAAGAUUUUUUCAAUUUUGCUAUUUAUUUAGCAAAAAAUGAAUGAGAUAAAAGCAAGUAGUGUGAAAAAUGAGUUACAUCUAGUUUGGUAAUAUAAUGACUAAACAAAUCAUUUUUAUACUUAAAAAAUUUAAAAAUAAAAAAAUGCCUACAAUCUUUUCUUUCUUUCUUAAUAUUGUAAUAUUACGAUUAUAACAGUCACAUGCUUCUCCGGUGCAUAUUAUAAUCGUAAUUUUAUAGUCCGAAAAAAAUUCUAUGUAUUUUUUAAGAUUUUUAAGUCUUUUAUGGUAUGAAAAUAAUGUUUCUAGCUGCACAUUACCAAAUUAGAUCUUAAUAUUUUAUUCUUUUUUCUUCGUCUUUUUUUCAAUUGACUUUGGUCUAAUGUGUGUUAAAGCCAGUUAUGUUAUUUUAAAAAAUUUAAGUUUCGAUCAAAAGAUAAAAUUAUGUCAAAUUAAAAUAACGAAAGUUGGCACUUACAGUUGAAAACUUCUUUGUUCCUUUUCACUUUCUCGUAAACAAACGUACCGUAUACUGCGGCACCGAUAUAAUUACUUGCUUUGAGGCAUGAAUUGAAUUGGACACAAGGGCAUGAGGGAGACAUCUAUCACUACACAUACUACGGUAACUGUGGACUUGAUAAAUCUUUUGUUCAAAGCACCAAAAAAAAAAAAAAAGAAAAAAAAAAGAAUAGUAAUAUAGUGCAUGCAAUUAAGUUUUCAUAAUUCUAAGAAGGCUUUUGUAAUCAGUAUUGUUUGCCAUGUUAAUAGUUGAACUUUUGAUUAAGUAGUUUUACUGCAUGCAACGCAUCUAAUUUCCCAAAAAAUUAUCACACUACAACAAAAAUGGUCUAUAGCGCCACUUUUAAAUGUUGGUAUAGGUUAAAAAAAGUGCUGCUGGCUAAAUUACCGACACUUUUAAAAUGUGUUGCUAUAUGUGGGGCCGCUAGGUAUAUAGUGACAGUUAAAGAGUGUCGUUAUAACCUAAAAAGAGUGCUGUUAAUUUAGCAACACUUAUUUAAGCAUCUAGCAACCGCCGGAACUCUACCUCGUUGGCUGCGAUGGCGGAGGAGGACGAGAGGGAAGGGCCCUUCGUCUAGGAUUUAAGUGGAAUGAGUGAGAGGAGUAGAGAUGGUAACCGAUUUUUCUUUAUUUUUUCUUUUCUGUUUGUAAUCGAGCUAAAUAGGCUGGGUUGGGUGGGUUGAGUAGAGUAGUAACUUUUUAUUUUUUGUGGGAUUCGGCUUUAUAUUUAGACAUUAGUAGAUAUUUUUUAAAAUUUUGGUAUAAAUGGAAUACUUAUAUAAAAGUGUCCCAAAUAUAUGUCGCUAUAACCUAAUUCUGUUGUAGUGUCAUAUCAUAUUUCUUUCGUAUUGUUAUGUGCAAUAGGGAUAGAAAACUACAUUAACGCUUCAAUAUCCACUCAUGUAAUGUUAAAGGUAUCGACGUGUACAUUCUUGGCCUGGAAUGGGCAUCUGAAUAAAUUGGUAAACAAAUGUCUUAUCAAAAUAAAAAAGUGGCUUUUUUCUGAAAACAGAAAAAAUAAGUUUCUCCAAAUAUUUUUUUUUUACUACAUGCUUUGUUUAUUUCAUUUAAAAAUAAACUUAGCUGGAAAUGUGAAUCAACUAGAAUUCGAAUUUGGGUCUCUGGUACCAACCACCAAGCCCUUUGCCACUUGCUCUAGGAACAGUUACUAAUUUCUACAAAUAUCUUAAAAUCAAAAUAAUUCAUGAUUUGAAAAAAUAGCGGGUAAAGAGAUAAAAUAUAACAAGAACAUAUA
rnacentral:lncRNA from 1 species